UACGUAGGGGGCUAGCGUUGUCCGGAAUCACUGGGCGUAAAAGGGCGCGUAGGCGGCCUGGCAAGUCGGUGGUGAAAGCCCGUGGCUCAACUACGGGUCGGCCACCGAUACUGCUAUGGCUCGAGUGUGGUAGAGGCAGAUGGAAUUCCUGGUGUAGCGGUGAAAUGCGCAGAUAUCAGGAGGAACACCGAUGGCGAAGGCAGGUCUCUGGGGCAUUAACUGACGCUGAGGAGCGAAAGCAUGGGAGCGAACAGG
rnacentral:rRNA from 1 species